GUUGAUAGGUCGGGUGUGUAAGCGCAGCGAUGCGUUGAGCUAACCGAUACUAAUGAACCGUGAGGCUUAACCUUACAACGCCGAAGGUGUUU
rnacentral:rRNA from 1 species